ensembl:lncRNA
UUCCUCAUACACAUCUGGAUUCCCUUCCUCAUACACACCUGUAUUCUCUUCCUCAUACACAUCUGGAUUCCCUUCCUCAUACACACCUGGAUUCCCUUCCUCAUACACACCUGGAUUCCCUUCCUCAUACACACCUGGAUUCCCUUCCUCAUACACACCUGGAUUCCCUUCCUCAUACACACCUGGAUUCCCUUCCUCAUACACACCUGGAUUCUCUUCCUCAUACACAUCUGGAUUCCCUUCCUCAUACACAUCUGGAUUCCCUUCCUCAUACACAUCUGGAUUCCCUUCCUCAUACACACCUGGAUUCCCUUCCUCAUACACAUCAGACCAACAUACAUUUUAUACAUCGUCAACAGAAGAGUCCUAGAAAACAUUUUUUUAAUGAUCUCUUCAAAUUGCCAAAAGGCCCAACCUUUGGCAUUUUGGCUUUCCUCAUUAUUGACACAAUGGCACUGUCACUACAACCAACCAAUGUUUGAGUCAACAAAAGCAGUUUACUUACUAAAGUGGGCAAAAGCUGAAACACAUCUGACAACCACACAGGCUAGGAGCAACAUACAGCACACCAUUUGGGAUUCAAUCCAAAUCUCAGGCUUUGUAGUGAAGCACAAAUUGGACGAUGACAGUAAUAACAACAAGGAAAUCCACGUUGACUUGGACAAAUUUUUUGACAUUAUUUUUUUCCUCACUGCACUUCAUCUCUAAGACGGGACAGGCCUGGUCCACUGUCACUGUGCAAAUAAACUCAGGGCGUGGGAGAGGGCAAAACCAAGAAGACUCAAAGAUUUACCCAGAAAUAGAGUUAUCCAUAGAGAUUGGGAUUGGAAAUUUGGAGCUGAAAUGGAGGAUAGUUUCCAGAACUCUGUUAUGUAUAUCUACGGCUUGCCCUGAUAUAAAUGAAUCAGAUCAGACUCUUACAUUUUAAACACAAGACAUGCUUUCUCUUUCUUUCUCCAUUAACUGACGACAUAAUUCUUAAAACGAAGACAGAACUAAACACAGAUAGCAAUGGAAUCCAUAACCAGGAAGAGACAGACAGAACUAGAAUCCAUAACCAGGAAGAGACAGACAGAACUAAACACAGAUAGCGAUGGAAUCCAUAACCAGGAAGAGACAGACAGAACUAGAAUCCAUAACCAGGAAGAGACAGACAGAACUAGAAUCCAUAACCAGGAAGAGACAGACAGA